rnacentral:rRNA from 1 species
AACGAACGCUGGCGGCAUGCCUAACACAUGCAAGUCGAACGAGACCUUCGGGUCUAGUGGCGCACGGGUGCGUAACGCGUGGGAACCUGCCCGUAGGUUCGGAAUAACUCCCCGAAAGGGGUGCUAAUACCGGAUAAUGUCUUCGGACCAAAGAUUUAUCGCCUUUGGAUGGGCCCGCGUUGGAUUAGCUAGUUGGUAGGGUAAAAGCCUACCAAGGCGACGAUCCAUAGCUGGUCUGAGAGGAUGAUCAGCCACACUGGGACUGAGACACGGCCCAGACUCCUACGGGAGGCAGCAGUGGGGAAUAUUGGACAAUGGGCGAAAGCCUGAUCCAGCAAUGCCGCGUGAGUGAUGAAGGCCUUAGGGUUGUAAAGCUCUUUUACCCGGGAUGAUAAUGACAGUACCGGGAGAAUAAGCUCCGGCUAACUCCGUG